GACGAACGCUGGCGGCGCGCUUAACACAUGCAAGUCGAACGGAAAGGCCUGCUUUCCCUUGUGGAUUGCGGGUACUCGAGUGGCGAACGGGUGAGUAACACGUGAGUGAUCUGCCCCCAACUUGGGUAUAAGCCUGGGAAACUGGGUCUAAUUCCCGAUAGGACUGCAGGGUGGUGCCUGUGGUGGAAAACGAUUUUCUAGUGGUUGGGGAUGAGCUCGCGGCCUAUCAGCUUGUUGGUGGGGUAAUGGCCUACCAAGGCGGCGACGGGUAGCCGGCCUGAGAGGGUGGAUGGCCACAUUGGGACUGAGAUACGGCCCAGACUCCUACGGGAGGCAGCAGUGGGGAAUAUUGCACAAUGGGCGGAAGCCUGAUGCAGCGACGCCGCGUGGGGGAUGACGGCCUUCGGGUUGUAAACUCCUUUCGACCGCGAGGAAGCCACCUGGUUGGAAGGGUGGUGACGGUAGUGGUAGAAGAAGCACCGGCUAACUACGUG
rnacentral:rRNA from 1 species